rnacentral:rRNA from 1 species
AUUGAACGCUGGCGGCAGGCCUAACACAUGCAAGUCGAACGAGUGGCGGACGGGUGAGUAAUGUCUGGGAAACUGCCCGAUGGAGGGGGAUACUACUGGAAACGGUAGCUAAUACCGCAUACCAUCGGAUGUGCCCACGUGGGAUGAGCCUGUAGGUGAGGUAACGGCUCACCUAGGCGACGAUCCCUAGCUGGUCUGAGAGGCUGAACAGCAACACUGGAACUGGUACACGGUCCAGACUCCGACGGUAGGCAGCAGUGGGGAAUAUGGCACAAUGUGCGCAAGCCUGAUGCAGCCAUGCCGCGUGUAUGAAGAAGGCCUUCGGGUUGUAAAGUACUUUCAGUGGGGAGGCGUUAACCGCAGAAGAAGCACCGGCUAACUCCGUGCCAGCAGCCGCGGUAAUUC